UGCCUCCUACGGGAGGCAGCAGUGAGGAAUAUUGGUCAAUGGUCGGGAGACUGAACCAGCCAAGCCGCGUGAGGGAUGAAGGUACAGAGUAUCGUAAACCUCUUUUGUCAGGGAACAAAGGCGGGGACGUGUCCCCGGAUGAGUGUACCUGAAGAAAAAGCAUCGGCUAACUCCGUGCCAGCAGCCGCGGUAAUACGGAGGAUGCGAGAGUUAUCCGGAUUUAUUGGGUUUAAAGGGUGCGCAGGCGGUCUGUUAAGUCAGGGGUCAAAGCCCGGGGCUCAACCCCGGCCCGGCGUUGGAACUGG
rnacentral:rRNA from 1 species